GAUUAUUUUUUUAUUUUAUUUAUGAUUUUUAUUUUUUUAUUAGAAAUAACUUUAUUUAUAGUAUAUUUUAUAGAAAUAAUAUUUAUUAUGAUAGUGGAAAGUACUGUGAAGGAUAUAAUUUAAUUAUUUAUAAGUAAUCUUAUUUUGGUGUACCUUUUGUAUCAGGGUUGAUUAAAUUAUUAUAUUUAUAUAUAUUUCCCGAAAUUAGGAGAGUUAAAAUUUAAAUGUUAAUUAGCGUGUCAAAGCUAUUGAUAAUUUGAUUUUAGUAAUGAAAUGUUAUUCGUUCUUAAAUAUCUGGUUUUCUUGGAAUUAAAUUUAAUUUAGGAUCUUAAAAGUAAGAGUAUUAUUUUAUUUUGUUUUAUUUUAAGUUCUAAUACUCUUGGGGAUAAGCUCGGGAGUAAAAAAUAUAAGUUAUAGUAUUGGAUUGAAUUUUAGUAGGCUUGAGAUCAGCCAUCAUUAAUUUCGUUAUAGAAUAUUUUCUGUUUAUGUUUUAUUUUUUAUUCUUUAAUUUUUUACUUGAAUAAUAAAAAGAAUUGUUUUAUUUUUGUAAUAAUGAUUAGAUUAGUAUUUUAGUUAAUUAAAUUAUAGGAACUCGGCAAAUUUAGUGUUCGCCUGUUUAACAAAAACAUGUCCUUUUGUUUGUUUAUUUAAGGUUUAACCUGCCCAAUGAGGAAUUGAAUGGCCGCAGUAUUUUAACUGUGCUAAGGUAGCAUAAUCAUUUGUCUUUUAAUUGAGGGCUGGAAUGAAGGGUUGGACGAAACAUUGACUUUCUUUAAUUUAAAAGGAGAAUUUAAUUUUUAAGUUAAAAAGCUUAAAUUAUUUUAUUGGACGAGAAGACCCUAUAGAUCUUUAUAGUUUAAUACUUUAACAAUUUAGAGAUUGUAUUUGAUUAAAUUAAGAGAAUUAUUUUGUUGGGGUGACUGUAGAAUUAAAAUAACUUCUAUUUAUAUAUAUCAUUUAUUGAUGUUUAUUUGAUCCAUAAUUUAUGAUUAAAAGAUUAAGUUACCUUAGGGAUAACAGCGUAAUUUUUCCGGAGAGUUCAUAUUGAUGGAAGAGUUUGCGACCUCGAUGUUGGAUUAAAAUUAGUUAUAGAUGCAGGAGUUUAUAAACUAGGUCUGUUCGACCUUUGAAUUUUUACAUGAUCUGAGUUCAGACCGGCGUGAGCCAGGUCAGUUUCUAUCCUUAAAAGAAUAAUACAUUUUAGUACGAAAGGACCAAUUGUAUGGAAUAAUUUUAUAAUAUUUGAUUAAUAUU
rnacentral:rRNA from 1 species